AGCGAACGCUGGCGGCAGGCCUAACACAUGCAAGUCGAACGAACCCUUCGGGGUUAGUGGCGGACGGGUGAGUAACACGUGGGAACGUGCCUUUAGGUUCGGAAUAACUCAGGGAAACUUGUGCUAAUACCGAAUGUGCCCUUCGGGGGAAAGAUUUAUCGCCUUUAGAGCGGCCCGCGUCUGAUUAGCUAGUUGGUGAGGUAAUGGCUCACCAAGGCUACGAUCAGUAGCUGGUCUGAGAGGAUGACCAGCCACAUUGGGACUGAGACACGGCCCAAACGCCUACGGGAGGCAGCAGUGGGGAAUCUUGCGCAAUGGGCGAAAGCCUGACGCAGCCAUGCCGCGUGGAUGAUGAAGGUCUUAGGAUUGUAAAUCCUUCCACCGGUGAAGAUAAUGACUGUAGCCGGAGAAGAAGCCCCGGCUAACUUCGUGCCAGCCGCCGCAGUAACAC
rnacentral:rRNA from 1 species